rnacentral:tRNA from 1 species
GGUGGUUUAGUAGUUGAAUACCUGUCUUCUACGCAGGAGACUUGGGUUCGAUUCCCAGAAAAAUCA